rnacentral:rRNA from 1 species
UAGUCCACGCCGUAAACGAUGAUUACUCGGUAUUGGCGAUACACUGUCAGUACCCAAGCGAAAGUUUUAAGUAAUCCACCUGGGAAGUACGUCGGCAACGAUGAAACUCAAAGGAAUUGACGGGGGCCCGCACAAGCGGUGGAGCAUGUGGUUUAAUUCGAUGAUACGCGAGGAACCUUACCAAGGCUUAAAUGCAGAGCGACGUACCCGGAAACGGGUAUUUCUUCGGACGGUCUGCAAGGUGCUGCAUGGUUGUCGUCAGCUCGUGCUGUGAAGUGUCGGGUUAAGCCCCAUAACGAGCGCAACCCCUAUCUUUAGUUGCCAGCGAGUAAUGUCGGGGACUCUAGAGAAACUGCCAGUGUAAACUGUGAGGAAGGUGGGGAUGACGUCAAAUCAUCACGGCCCUUACGUCUUGGGCUACACACGUGCUACAAUGGUAGAUACAAUGAGCAGUGACCUGGUGACAGGUAACUAAUCUUCAAAGUCUAUCUCAGUUCGGAUUGAAGUCUGCAACUCGACUUCAUGAAGCUGGAAUCGCUAGUAAUCGGAUAUCAGCCAUGAUCCGGUGAAUACGUUCCCGGGCCUUGUACACACCGCCCGUCAAGCCAUGGAAGCCGGGGGUGCCUGAAGUCAGUAACCGCAAGGAGCUGCCUAGGGUAAAACUGGUAACUGGGGCUAAGUCGUAACAAGGUAACCGUA